GUGGCUCAGUAGUAGAGCGCUUGCCUAGCAUGCAGGAGGCCUGGGUUCCGUCCCCAGC
rnacentral:tRNA from 1 species